rnacentral:rRNA from 1 species
GCUGCAUGCUUUAUACAUGCAAGUCGAACGGAGGCCCUAGCUUGCUAGGUGUCCUUAGUGGCGCACGGGUGAGUAACACGUGGGAACAUACCUUAUAGUACGGAAUAACUGCGGGAAACUGUAGCUAAUACCGUAUACUCCAGUAAUGGGAAAGAUUUAUCGCUAUAAGAUUGGCCCGCGCAAGAUUAGCUUGUUGGUGAGGUAAAAGCUCACCAAGGCUUCGAUCUUUAGCUGGUUUGAGAGGACGAUCAGCCACACUGGGACUGAGACACGGCCCAGACUCCUACGGGAGGCAGCAGUAGGGAAUAUUGGACAAUGGGGGCAACCCUGAUCCAGCAAUGCAGCGUGAGUGACGAAGGCCUUAGGGUUGUAAAACUCUUUCAUCGGUGAGGAUAAUGACAGUAGCCGAAGAAGAAGGACCGG